AUUGAACGGUGGCGGCCGGCCUAACACCUGCAAGUCGAGCGGAGCGGCGGACGGGUGAGUAAUGCCUAGGAAUCUGCCUGGUAGUGGGGGAUAACGUCCGGAAACGGGCGCUAAUACCGCAUACUAUCAGAUGAGCCUUGGUCGGUUGAGCUAGGUGGUGGGGUAAGGGCCUACGAAGGCGACGAUCCGUAACUGGUCUGAGAGGAUGAUCAGUCACACUGGAACUGAGACACGGUCCAGACUCCUACGGGAGGGAGCAUGGGGGAAUAUUGGCCCAUGGGCUAAAGCCUGAUGCAGCCAUGCCGCGUGUGUGAAGAAGGUCUUCGGGUCGUAAAGCACUUUAAGUUGGGAGGCGUUUCCAGCAGAAUAAGCACUUGCUAACUUCGUGCCAGCAGCCGCGGUAAUAC
rnacentral:rRNA from 1 species